rnacentral:rRNA from 1 species
ACUUUCAGUCGUGAGGAAGGUAGUGUAGUUAAUAGCUGCAUUAUUUGACGUUAGCGACAGAAGAAAGCACCGGCUAACUCCGUGCCAGCAGCCGCGGUAAUACGGAGGGUGCGAGCGUUAAUCGGAAUUACUGGGCGUAAAGCGCAUGCAGGUGGUUUGUUAAGUCAGAUGUGAAAGACCCGGGGCGUCAACCUCGGAAUAGCAUUUGUAAACUAGGCAGACUAGAGUACUGUAGAGGGGGGUAGGAAUUUCAGGUGUAGCGGUGAAAUGCGUAGAGAUCUGAAGGAAUACCGGUGGCGAAGGCGGCCCCCUGGACAAAGACUGACGCUCAGAUGCGAAAGCGUGGGGAGCAAACAGGAUUAGAUACCCUGGUAG